AUUCCAGCUCCAAUAGCGAAUACUAAUUCUGCUGCAGUUAAAAAGCUCGUAGUUGAACUUGUGGCAGGACAGAUCCGGCCGUUGGGCGAAUGCCCUUUGAUGCUGUGUGUCUCGUCUGGCCAUCCUCGGCAAUUCUUUUAAAAAGGUUGUCGUCUUUCACUGUAAAAAAAUUAGGGUGUUUCAAGCAAAGUUUAUGUUGGAAUAUAUUAGUAUGGGAUGAUAAGAUAGGCUCUGGAUGCUAUUUUGUUGGUUUGCACAUUUAGAGAAUGAUUAACAGGGACAGUUGGGGGUAUUCAUAUUUACAUGUCAGAGGUGAAAUUCUUGGAUUUUGGAAAGAUGAACUACUGCGAAGGCAUUUACCAAGGAUGUUUUCAUUG
rnacentral:rRNA from 1 species